rnacentral:rRNA from 1 species
GAUGAACGCUGGCGGCGUGCUUAACACAUGCAAGUCGAACGGAAAGGCUCCUGCUUGCAGGGGUUCUCGAGUGGCGAACGGGUGUGUAACACGUGGGUGAUCUGCCCUGCACUGCGGGAUAAGCCUGGGAAACUGGGUCUAAUACCGGAGAGGACGAUGGUUUGGAUGCCAUUGUGGAAAGUUUUUCGGUGUGGGUUGAGCUCGCGGCCUAUCAGCUUGUUGGUGGGGUAAUGGCUUACCAAGGCGCCUACGGGGAGCAGGCCAGGGAGGGUGUACGGCCGCCCUGGGCCCGAGGGGAGGCCGAGAUUGGUAAGCGUCGGAAAAGGGGGGAAUACUGAACAAUGGGCGCCGGCCUGGUGCAGGAAGGCCUCGGGGGGGAUAACGGCCUUAGGGUGGAAGAACCCUUUCGCAAGUAACGACGCGCUUUUUGACGGUACCUAAAGAAAAAGCACCGGCUAACUACGUG